rnacentral:tRNA from 1 species
GCCUGGCUGGCUCAGUCAGUAGGACAUGAGACUCUUAAUCUCAGGGUUGUGAGUUCAAGCCCCAUUUUGGGCA